ensembl:lncRNA
UCCUCCUUGGUGGGCUAUGGGGAUCCUGGGAUGGUAAUGGGGGUCCUGUCACGGACUGUGGAACUCUGAGGACCCAGGAGAGGACUGAGGGGGUAAGGGAGGUCUGAGGAAGAAAACAAGGGGGUUCACUGUGAGCUCAGAGGGGGAUGUGUGCUGCUGCUGGGGACUGCAGAAGCCUGUGAUGGCCCAGCUUGUCUGUGGGGGAGAUGUGCUGAGUCUGAGAAGGUCCUUGAGGAGCUAUAGGGCUCUCUGGGGGUGUGUUUGGUGGAUAUAGGGACAUUAAGGGAUGUGGGAACACAGGCUGCAGGAGCAGAAUGCUGUUCAAGAGAAGACAAGACGUGGGCUGCAGGUGGGACACAGGGGCAUGGGCUAGUAUGAGGACGUAGAGAGUAUGGGAGGAUGUGGGGAGCGGUUUGAGGUAAAAAGGGGGGGGAGUGGGCAGAGUUUGCAGUGGAUUCAUUUAAUCCUGAGAGGGGACUGGGCGUCCCUGCGGCCCAAAGGUGGGGCCCUGAGCCGUUACCCCACAUGAGCCAUAACCCAAGAUGACCUCAUCGCCCUGUAUGUGCGUGACCCCAUGGCUGCACGUGACCCACAGCCCUGAUGGGAACCAUACCCCCACAUGACCCUGUGACUCCCUGACUCUUCCUGCCCCCAUCAUGCUGCGAACUGACGCCAUGUGGCCCAUAAAUCUGGGAUCCUUGCCCCCACCUCACCCCGACCAUACAACCCAUGUGAUCCAUAACUCCAUGUCACCCCAUCUGUCCCUACCAUCCAAUCUGACCCUAUCACUGUGAUUCAGAACCCCAUCUGACCCCAUAGCCCCACAUCACCCCGUAACUCUGUGACCCUGCAGGACCCCUAUGUGACCCACGACCCCACGUCCUCACCCCAUGUGGCCAUAGAACCAGCUGCAUGCUAGGAAAAGGCAUCUCCUCCUCAGGGUGGGGCUGCCCCACAGCUGCCCCAGAGAAGCCAUGGGGUGGGCUGCAGCCGUACGCCUCAGUUUGGAGAGCUGGGAGCUGGCCAAAGGGGCCAGCAGAAGGACAUGAAUGCUUCUGUAGGGAAAUACCUGUCCCAGGGUUUGGUGGGUUGGUAGCUUCUGUUUCUGUAGGUGGAUGAGAACAGAACAAACUGAACCCACUGAGACCGGGGAAGGGAUUGGAGCUUUGCUGCUGCGGUGCUGCAUGGCCACGAGGGAUACCCGAGCCAGGAAUGGAACAGGGAUGGACUGAAGCAAAUCAACUCCUUCACGGGACAGUGGGAGAAGAAAUCCAAGUCAGCUGCAGAACAAACAACACAAC